AGAACGAACGCUGGCGGCAGGCUUAACACAUGCAAGUCGAGCGCCCAGCAAUGGGAGCGGCGGACGGGUGAGUAACACGUGGGAACAUGCCCUUUGGUACGGGACAACUCAGGGAAACUUGAGCUAAUACCGUAUGAGCCGGUAACGGGAAAGAUUUAUCGCCAAAGGAAUGGCCCGCGUCCGAUUAGCUAGUUGGUGAGGUAAUGGCUCACCAAGGCACCGAUCGGUAGCUGGUUUGAGAGAACGACCAGCCACACUGGGACUGAGACACGGCCCAGACUCCUACGGGAGGCAGCAGUGGGGAAUCUUGGACAAUGGGGGCAACCCUGAUCCAGCCAUGCCGCGUGAGUGAUGAAGGCCUUCGGGUUGUAAACUCUUUCGACGGGGACGAUAAUGACGGUACCCGUAGAAGAAGCUCCGGCUAACUUCGCGCCAGCACGCCGC
rnacentral:rRNA from 1 species